rnacentral:lncRNA from 1 species
GGGAAAAUGGAUAAUAAUGAAGCCCACAGAUUUUCACUCCAGAACUGACUUUGCUGCAGAGGAGCGAGGAGAGCUGCCUGGCAAUGCAACGCAUUGCUGUGCAUAAACUUUGUUUACAGCCAAGGCUGGAGUAAAGGAACAGAUGGCAAGAAAAUCGGAUUUAAAGAAAGGAAGGAUGUGCCUGCAUCUGGGAGCUCGGUAAAUCUCUUGGCUUCUGGUGUGCAUACAAGGGUGACGUCUAGCUACCCCAGCAGUCGCGUCCCAGUUUGCUGUUGAGUUUUGCCUGUUUGGAUCUGUCUCUGAGGAUGGUUAAUACAUCUUAUUACAAGCGUUUAUCUCAUCCCUCCCACAGGAAAUGUGUUUUCCCAGGGAUUUGUAUGUUCCCUUACCUUUUAUGGAAAGCAGUUUCUUGAUCAUCCACGUGAUUGUGUAUCUAAAAUUUCAAGAAUAUUUAAGCUGUUAAUCCUGCUUGUCUGUAGAAGAUGGGUUUAUAUUUCUAUGAUCUUGGAAAUAUUUACAAUGAGCUUGUAUAACAAGGAGAAAUAAGCAUAAACAUUUAUGCCUGCCACAUUCGUAA